CGUCGUCGCAAAAGCAUCUUCUGAAAUAUUGAAUUUUGGAAUGAUGUUUCUUCUAUUAGUAAGAACUUAUGACAGUAUGGCGACACUACAUUUCACAAAUUGUUGCAAAGUGACCAUGAAUACCAAGUUCACCAGGAUGGAACCCAAACCUUGUUACAUGCUGGAGUUGUGGAGCUGAGCCGAGUCUAUUGAACCAGUGUCUCAGGUCAAGUCUACCGAUAUAUCAAUAAGUGCGAAGUCGAUGUACAAUCAUUGUCAGCAGAACACAAUGUGUGUUAAAUUUCCGGAACACAAGACGCUAUCAAUAGCCGGAUUUAAGUGGUUUUAAUUCUACAAAUAAUCGCGCGCGGAUAUUUAUUAGGACUUAUAUCACUGGAUCGCCGGAAUUGAAUCAAGUUUGCCAAUUAGGCCUAUGUUUCUUAUACAACGAACAAGUAAUUCUCGAACGAUAUUACAUAAUUAAAUAUAAUUAGGCCUAAGCAUUAUAUAUAUUAUAUUAUAUCGUAUAAAACUAGAAUCUUUAUAUUCUAUUUAUAUUACGUUUAUUCUGAUGUAACAUU